rnacentral:lncRNA from 1 species
GCAUGUGAGCUCGAUACUUUUGAUAGAUUCAUGACAUAAAUUUUAAUUAAAUAAAAAAAUAAUUAUAUUAAGAGUUUGGUAUUGUUGGAUCAUCGAUGCUAAUCAUUAAUUUUAAAAAUUUGAAUUGUUAGGAAUACGCAAUUAAUUCACUUAAAGCGUACAGAUACAGCGCUUACGGGUCUCGAUUGUGACUCGGCCCAACCAGCCUCACGCCACUUCGAACAUGACUCGACGCCACCGAGCUAACGCCAUUUCGAAUAUGACUCGACCCAACAUGACCUCCCGCUACAGGGUAGGAUGCUGACUCAUUUAAGCCAACAGGUAUGAUUCAAAUUUAGAACAUCUCGCUCUAAUACUAUUUGAAACAAUCAUUGUACUCUAAACACUUAAGCUGUUAGAGAACGAUAUUUAUAUAUUUUUAUAUUUGACACGAUGUGGUCUAACCAAUCACAAUUGUUUUUAGAAUUCAACCAUUCUACGACUAUUUAUAGAAAAAUAUCUUUCUUAUAAUUUUUUCUCAAAAGAAGGUAUUUGAUUUCACGGCAUAUAGGGCUGGCAAUCCAGCUCGCUGUUCGUGAGCCAACUUAUAUUCGACUCGAAAUGAACUUGAGAUCAAUCGCCCAUUUAAUAAAUAGGCCGAACACGAGUUGAAUUUUUCACCUUGAAAUCUUAUCAAGCCGAACGCGAGUUGGGUCAGCUUCGUCGCAAUCGGUUCGAUAUAAUUCGAAUAUGUACAUAUAUAUAGGGACUACUAUAUUUUUUAAAGUACAUAGAAUUAUAACUUGUUUUUAAUGAUGGGAUAUUCAAUUCGGCUAUUAGACAUGAUCUACGGUGUUGAAACUAUCUAAAAACCAAAUUUAAUAACUUUUUUUUAUUUUGUUUAACUACUAGAUAAGAAGUCUCAAAAUGAACGACUGAAAAUAAAAAAGUUAUACAAAAUAGUGAUGAAAGACAGAAAUUUUAAAUCGAAAAUAUUAAUUUUGCUCUUGAUGGUAACUAAAAUUUUCAUUAAAAAAUCACCUAAUGCAGAUUUUUCUACAUCAUUGAACUUACAAACGCGCUACAUCGGCUAUUAAAAUAAUUAUUUUUGAGACUCUUUGAUCACUUAAUACAUAAUGUCGAAAAAUUAUAAAAUUUAAUUUCUAAAUAGUUCUAAUGACGAUGCCUAUCGAAGAGCCGAUCGUCAAAUCGGAUGUUCCAUCAAUAAUAUUUACUAUCCACUUUUUGAUGAUUGAAUGCCUAGUGUUUAGUGGAGAUUAGUUGAAUAGUAAUAAUUUAAAAUAAGGGUGAAACGGUGGAUAGUAACGUGAAACGGUGGAUAAUAACUACUAUUUAUAUACUAUUAAUAGUAUUCUAAUUGAAAUAUAUAUAUAUAUAUAUAUAUAGAGAAAGAGAGUUGUAUUGGAAUACUAUUAAUAAUAUGAUACUAUU